GAAGAAGAAGAAGAAGAACAAGACGAGCUCUCCCCGCAGCUGAAACCAAAAAGCAAAGAUGGGUGGAGGCGCCGCUCCCGCUGCGGAGUCAGAAGGAAACUUCAACAUGUUAAAAUCUAAAGGAGCUCCAGUGUCUUUGCCCAAACAUUCAUACUGGUUUGAUUUCUGGGCGUUCCUGCUCUUUGACAUCGCGUUUUUUCUCUUCAUGUACUUCAUAGUCCCGUAGACCAGCAAACCGUCAUCUGGAUUCUGCGCCCUGAUGGAGCUCUGGUCCUGUGAUCCCGUCAGAAAUACUAACCCAGCUUCGACUGAAAACAUCACGUCAUUGAAUAUCUUGAUGGAUUGGACCCUGACUAGAACUAUUGAGUCCCGUUCUGAUAUCAGAGAUGUGGACCUCAACGCUCCUUCACCCUGAGACCUGGUUCCAGUUUCUGGGGACCGUCUCUCUGCAUGGAUGGAUUCACAAUAUUGCCAUGGGGAAAAUAUAUAUUUCAAGUACUCGUAUUAAAUUGGUUGAACGGGCAUCAUGAGGACUUGAAAAAUGUUCCAACUCAAAUGUAUUUUAAUGAACCAUGUGUUAUUCCUUUACAUGCUGAAUGUUUAACGUGUGAUAGAUUAGUCGCUGUUAACGAUGAUGAUGAUUUGUGUGGCAUUUUACCUUUAAGUGGUCUUACUGCAUUCCUAAACAUGUUAUGUCUCAAACUAAGUUUUGGAGUCAUGCGUCUGUUUUUUUUCUUGUACUAAGCCGUCUAAUGAAACCCGUUUGAGGCCGCUGUGAGGAUAGUAGAGACGUGGGAGUUUAGCAAGUGGUGCACCGCAUGUGAUGUAAUGCAGUGACUUCAGCUCACUAAAAUCUGGAAAUUUUGCACAUGGGAAAUACUACAAAUAAAGUGUUUUGCCUAAAAGUUAAA